rnacentral:rRNA from 1 species
AUGCACGCUGGCGGCGUGCCUCAUACAUGCAAGUCGCGCGAACAGACGAGGAGCUUGCUCCUCUGACGUUAGCGGCGGACGGGUGAGUAACACGUGGAUAACCUACCUAUAAGACUGGGAUAACUUCGGGAAACCGGAGCUAAUACCGGAUAAUAUAUUGAACCGCAUGGUUCAAUAGUGAAAGACGGUUUUGCUGUCACUUAUAGAUGGAUCCGCGCCGCAUUAGCUAGUUGGUAAGGUAACGGCUUACCAAGGCGACGAUGCGUAGCCGACCUGAGAGGGGGAUCGGCCACACUGGAACUGAGACACGGUCCAGACUCCUACGAGAGGCAGCAGUAGGGAAUCUUACGCAAUGGGCGAAAGCCUGACGGAGCAACGCCGCGUGAGUGAUGAAGGUCUUCGGAUCGUAAAACUCUGUUAUUAGGGAAGAACAAAUGUGUAAGUAACUAUGCACGUCUUGACGGUACCUAAUCAGAAAGCCACGGCUAACUACGUG